ACCUUCUUUCUCUCUUCUCAAACCCCACCCCGCCAUCCGCCUGGUCUAGCACAACUGAUCUUGUUAAUUGUAUAGGACUGGAGGAGGGAAGGGAGUGCUUGCUAAUGAGGACUGACUGGUACUGCAUUUUAUGCAGGGGGAAUCGGGAAAGCUGGGCAUUGGGAUUUGGUGGAGUUUGCAGAAAUAAGGGCAGCACGGGGCUUGCUUACCAAAAAUAAAGUGAGCUUAGGGAGAGGUCCUCCUCCCUGCAUCGUGCUGCUGCUUGGAGGCUAGAGCCAGAGGUGAAGGCGGCGGCGGCAGCUCGGCCCCUUUAAGGCUGAGCCUGGCGUAACGCGAUCCCGCAGUGAGUGCCUGUCGCGGCCGCCGCAGUAGCAGCAGCCUCCGCCGAAGCAGCUCCCUGUGUGGACGCGAAAGGCUCUCCCCACUGUAAGGACCCGCGAAGGAGGAUGGGAGGGACGGGCAGGCGGUCGCGGUAAGCCCUCAGGUAUAAUUAUGAAUAACUGAUCCAUUCAGUUGAGCAGUUUCCAUGAAAAGACUGCGAAGCACACAUUUCCUGCUUAUAAUACGUUGAUAACCACUGAGGAGCAGCACAGUCCUGUGAAUGUCUACUAAAAUUAUUGCUUGAAGGUUGCCUGAGGUCCUAAGAUGUGAUGUUGUUUUGGAGAUGAUUCUGCCCACUGUUGGAGAGAACACAGGGUGUCAAGAAGCUCAAGGCUCUGCAAUCUCUGGUAUCUUCAGCAAAGACUGCUGGGAGACAUGUACAGAUGAGCUGCUAUCUCCCCCAGGCUGACAAAUGAUGGCUGCCUUUGACAAGCUAAUUUGGGGUCUUGGCAUUAGCAGUUUUGCUAUAUUUCAGCUUCUCUUCCAUGUUUUAAGUUCAUGGGUUUCUGCACGUUUAACUGCCGGUUUUAAUAAUCUUGACCAAAAGAAGAAGAUUGAAUGGAAUUCAAGGACAGUAUCUACAUUCCAUGCUCUGGUGGUCGGAGGAUUUUGUUUGUAUAUUUUAUUAUAUGAUGAAGCUGUUAAUACUGACCGUGUUUGGGGUGAUCCUUCUCUAGUGAAACUAAAUCUUGCAAUUACGACAGGCUACCUCAUUUCAGAUUUGUUGCUUAUUAUUUUCUACUGGAAAGCAAUUGGGGAUAUAUUUUAUGUAAUUCACCAUUUAGUAGCUCUAUAUGCUUACUACUUUGUACUGGGUAGAGGAUUAUUGGCAUAUUUUGCUAACUUUCGUCUGCUUGCAGAAUUAUCUACUCCUUUGGUGAAUCAGCGGUGGUUUUUUGACAUGCUGGGGUACCCCAAGUCUUCAAAAGCCAACAUCAUCAAUGGAAUAUUAAUGACAGUCCUGUUCUUCCUGGUGAGGAUUGCAGUCAUACCAAUUUAUUAUGGCAAUGUUAUUUCUGAAUUUGGAACAGAAUCUUUCCACAGAUUAGGAUUUGCAGCUCAAAGCGCCUGGUUUAUCUCCUCCAUUGUUUUGGAUAUCAUGAACUUAAUGUGGAUGGUCAAGAUUACAAAGGGAUGUUACAAAGUUAUUUGUCUUAUUGGAAAAGGAGGAUCCAAAGCGCAUAAAAAUGGAAAAUCUGACUAGAAGACUUUGUAAAACAACACACAAACAAAAACAUAUUUAACAGGAGCGUUGGGUUCAUCAAAAGAACAGUGCACACUUUGGCCACACAAAACUCCUUUUGAAGAAAGAAGGUUUUACCUCUCAACUGUAGCCUUUCCCUUGCCCCAGUGCCUGGGCAUCCAGGGUCAUUUCAUUUAAAGACUCUCAUUAUGUGGAAUGGGAAACAAAGACAUACUGCAUCCCUUGGCAGUAUGGUUCUAAGCACUUAACAGACGAAUGAAUGAACCUGUAGAGGAACAAACCCUUCUAGCACUAUGUUCCUAAGAAUUUUCACUCAGGUUUCUUAGACUAAUGUGUUUUUAAUGCCUGUGAAUGUCAGGAUCUUUGGUUUACAUUCUGCUACAAUGGCAACUUUCCUGGCAUGGUUCUCUGCUUUCUUAAUGUUUGGUGUUCAUAAUUGAGGUUUUAUCUUUUGAGAACUUUUUACAUUUUUGCAAAUAUUAUGCUUUGAAUAUGUGACCUUUUACUGCAUCUUCUGCUGCCUUAUAUGCAUGGACACAACCUUUUGGGAAUUAUAGAGCAAUUUUAUAUAAACAUAUAAACUAGAGUUUGGGUUGCUUUUUUUCUUUUCUUUUUUAAACAGUUUUCUUGUAUUGACUUCUGCUGUGCAUUUAUGGUUAAUUACUGCUGUUUUCAUCAUUUCUUUUUAUUUUCUGUAUUUUUAAAGUAUCUGAAUUCCAGCACAUGCUAGCAUGGUAAACAGUAUGGAGAUAAGUAAAUUUUUGUACCAGUGUUCCUUCUCUAUCAUGACUAUUUGAGACCUAUAUAUGUGUCUAGUGUUGUGUCAUGUGACCAAGAGACUUUUGGGGGGGGGGUAAACUACUGAAGGGGAGAAUAUUGCUGACUGGAAUAUGUGAGUUGUCACAAGAACCAUUGUGCUUGUUUGCCUUUACAAAGCUUUUAAAAAGAGUUCAAGGCUUUACUAAUCAGAUUAUUUUGCAUCGUCCUUUUUAAAAGCAAGUUAGAGGAAACACACUGAUGCUUCAAGCAGAACAUACUUUUUAAAUUUUAAAAUGGAUUUUCUUUUAUUCUCUGGGGCAGCUCAACAAAAAUAGAUACAUGAUGCAGCUUUCUAUCAUUAGAGAUAACCUUUCUUCAAAGUCAUACUGCUCUCAACAGAUAUUUGUGAAAGCAUGCUGCUAAUGAAUUCUGGGUAAAAAGAAAACCUGUAGAACAGAGUAUUGAAAACCUACUUGUUUGCACUGAUUUUACCAGUUCCUUACUAAUAUGGCCUCAAUUCAUUUUAUGAUGUAUUGUAUUUAUUCUUGAAUUGUUUAUCAAAUAAUCAACUUUUGUGUUCAUGUUUUGAAUACCGUUAUGUCAUAAUUUGCUGCUAAUGUUGUGUUCAUGUUCACGUUUGAGAUGCAAAUGUGCAGGAACAUUGUAGAGUACAAGCUGUUUUUGCUUCUUUUGUUUUUAACUAAUUUCAUAGUCUUGUGUGUUACUUCUUCCUGUUGUCAUUCUCUUAGCAAAGCCUAAUACAAAUGAUUAUUCAUCUUCUGGACUGGAUAAUAGCCUGUGGCUACUCAAUAAAAUAGGUUUAAAGACAUCCAGAGUAAUGGUCACAGAAGGAGUCAUGUUGGUGCUUCCCGGUAUUGUUCAGUCAGUAGCAAAGGAAGAGUUUACAUAGGAAGCUGCCUUAUACCGAGUCAGAUCAUAGGACCAUCUAGCUCCGUACUGUCUAAGCUCACGGUCAGCUUGUCCACUAGGUGGAACUACAUAGUCACUUAGGGUGCCAAUCCUUGGGAGGCCAUGGGACAGGCUCUGCCGCCCCCCCCCUGCUCCCCACAGUGGAUAGCCACCCUCUGCAUUGCAGCUAGGGCAGUGGUGGCUGGAGCAGGGGGACAGACUAGAAAGCAGGUUAUACCUUUAACAAUUCAUAAGGCUGCUUCUGCCUGCCACCCCCUGCACCACUGCCCAGUUCCAUGCGGAGUCCACCCCCGCUGCACACCCUUCUACACCCGUGUGGAACUGACAGUGGGGCAGUCUUAAAGAAUUUUGAAGGUAUGAUCUGUUUUUCACUCGGUGCCCCACCCCAAGUAUGUUUUCCACUCUGGCCCCAGUUGCCAAGUAUGACUUUGGUGCCCGGCCUCCCCCCCCACACCAUUCAGUUAAAAUUAUAUUCUGUACAUUACUGUAUAUACUUUUAACUGAAUUUGGGGGCAGGCGCCAAAGUCAUACUUAGCCUAGGGUGCCAAAAAGUCCAGAGCCUGGCAGUGGCUUUUCAAGGUUUCAGGCAGGCAUGUUUCCUGGCCCUAUCUGAUAUUUGCACAACAUUUUCUGCUAGCACAAGAACUACUCCGGAACAGAGGUUACUUUCUUUAUAUAAUGACCUUGUGUAGCAUCUUUCCACUUAUGCAAGAGCAUUACCGCUAGUGGUAGACGCUUCCUAGAUGUCACCCAGACUUACUAAAACUCUUCACCUGUUAUAGAUGGUUGAAUGUCUCUUGGGUUUAGAAGAUUAAAGUGACUGCUAUCAAAAAGUCCUUUAUGUCACAUUUAAAAUAUAAUACGUCUGUCAUAACAUCCAAGACAGUUCAGAUCUCUUCUAUAUAGUAAAAAAAUACAAUAGUAAGACAGAGGUCCUGUUCACACAUAUUAAAAGUUGUCUUGUAUAUAUGAAAGGAUAGGCACAUUUCAAACACCAUAGAUAGGUUUUUCAUAUCUCUUCAAACAAUUCUCCUCAGUCAUGACAGUUCACACAUUUAGCUGUGAGUUUUCAAGUAAUGAGGGAUCAAAUGACUUAAUGCAUGUGUGAACCCACCCAUCGUUAAUGAACAGUCACUCUCUUUCUUGACAAGCUUUUUAAAAUUAUGUAUGUAUUUAUUUAUUCAUUCAAUGUCUAUACUGCCCUUCCAAAAAUGGCUCAGGGCGGUUUACACAGAGAAAUAAUAAAUAAGAUUAAUCUUAUUUAAUUCUACAAAUUAAAACUAAAAUCUGCAUUCCCAUUUCCCCUGCCCCAGGUGGAAAUGCAGAGGUUGGUGUUGUUGUUUUUUAAAGUGCUCACAUACUAACAUUGUACUGCAAGAACAUUUCACAUGUUUAGGGCAGCGGGGAAGAUAAUUUUCAUUGAUCCUUCCUCUUCCCUCUGCUGCCUGGAUGUUCUCAGAAAAUGUCUGAGUCCCCCAACCUCCCAUACAGGAAGCAGCGGGGGGUGGGGAGAGAUGGGUGAAAAUCUCUCCCCCACUUGUGUGUGCAAAACAUUCUUAUGCAUGACAUUAGUCAAUAUAUGAGCUGGUUUUUUAAAAAAAUAAUAAUAAUCUAGGCUUGUUUUUACCAGAAGGCAAGAAAACACAGUACAGUUAAGAAAAUACAAUACUAGGUGCUGUUUAGUCCUCUCAAUUUGCUUUGUAAUUUUGUUUCAUGUUCCAACAUGUUGUUCAUGAAUUGACUGCCUUGAGUUAAUCAUUGAAACAGACCUGAAAACUGUUUUUGUCAGCCUCUUUAAAUAUAAACAUUUAAAAAUAGUGACCUACUGCAGUGUGUUAAGAGCAAUAUUCAAGAUAAGCGAUUGUUACUAAUGCAGAAUAAUGGAAGUAGCCAUGAAAACUCUUCCUGAUUUUAUUUAGAAUUAAACAGUUUAAUCCUCUCAGUAGUCCACUGGUUUGAAUCCGUGUGUGCCCAUUGAGUAUUUAAAAGACAAGUUGUGUUUAUUUCUGCUUUAGCAGUUAAGGUGUGAUGGGUAACUUCUCAAACCAGCAUGGCUUGGCAUGCUUUCCAUCUUCCACCCAUUGCAGAGUGGUAUCUCAUUCAGCUGCUAGAGACCCCUCUUUCUCUCCCUGGAACUGACCUAGUUUCAAUCUGAUAUACAGCUGUUGCAGAAGGAAGUAGCAGGAUCCCAUUGAACCAGAAAUAUCCGAAUAUGUGUGCUGGGCAUCUGGCCAGCCACUGUGCCUUAACAUACCCAGCAUUUUGAAAGAAAGCAGUUCUUGUCCAGUGGAUGAGCCAGCCCCAACCACAUGGCCGUGUGCUCUUGAUUUUCCAGGUGCUGCAGGAACUUGAGCUACCCUUGGAGGACAGGUCCCAUCCCUGAGGAGCUUACAAUCUAGAUAUCAGCACAAGCGAAACAACAGAGGAAGGUGAGGAAAACUGAGGCAGGGUAAGCAGAUCUAAUGUUAAUAACCCAGCAUUGGCCUACAAACGCCUACAGUUACACUGGGAUUUUGUGAUAUCCUUAACAUGGAGCUUUUAGCUUGAACUGAAAUCUAAAACAUGGAAGCUUCACUGUAUAAAAUGCACAGUAGUGGCUCAUCCUAAUGAGCCAGGAGGGCACCUGCAGAUGACCAGCCUGCAGGCAGCAUAGCUCUCAUGGAUGCCAGGGCAGGGUGGGGAGAGAGGCAGAACAGGGGCUCCUAGGCCCCAGAGGCAGCUGCAUCUUGUUUAGCACCCACCUGGCUUGUUAGAACAAGCCGCUACUGAAAAUGCAUAUUUGUGCUUUUGAGUGUUCGUUAUUAUUGUCUCUUUUCUUUUUCUUGUCCAGGCAUAUGUCUUUGAGCAAUCCAACUCGUGAAAUCUGUCCUUGCAUUAAAAAAAAUUGUUUGUGGGUUCUGUUUGAUGGUUGUGAAACGCGUUAUUAUUAUUGUAAACUGAAACAGGCAUAUAAGUCACUUCCAGAUGUAGUACAGGAUUUAGAUUCUUUAAAGUAUUUACUACUGAUUGCCCAAAUUUGCAAUUCAAAGUGGUUAGGAAUCUGAUUCAGAUAAUGUGUGCAUGACUUUGGGUGCUAUUCAUUUUUAAGCUCUUUCCAAAAUGCAUUUAUUUUUAAGUGCACGUACCACACAGUCCUUUCUGUAUUAGCAUUUACAGAUAUUCUUUCAGUUGAUACAGUUGGAUGCUGGCUUGUAAAUUCAUUCUGGAAAAGAGGUGAGUUAGAGAGUUCAUGAUAUGAGGCUAUACUAAAUCAUAGCACAAAGUUUGUUAAAGGCAACUGAAGAUCCGUUCAGGGGUAGAAUGAAGAUGACAGCUGUAACCCCUUCUACACAAGUUGAAUCCCUACAGCAGCAUGGAUUGCAUUAUCCCAGAAUAAUGACAGCACAAAACACUUGGGAAGCAAGUGUUGACUCCAGAGUGGCUGUACAAUAUGUGAAGGUUAACAAGGUCUUUUCCUUUGCUUGAUUACUCUUUAAUGUUGCUUGUGAGAAAGACAUAUUGCAUUUUGCUGGUAUGUGGAAACCUUGCUGUUUGUGUAAACUUGUGUAGGCUGAUCUUGUUUGAGGUUAUAUGCAAUAAUGUCUAUAAGCAAUAAGUUGCAUGUAUAUCCAAGGAAUUGGUACAUAAAAAUAAAAGGAAGAGAAUGCA